rnacentral:misc_RNA from 1 species
UUAAGUUCAGCGGAUAGUCUUACUUGAUUUGAGAUCGAGUUUUACAAGAAUCGUUGCCGACCCUUGUGAAAUCCUGCAUCAGUCAGCCAAUACGGUCAAACUCCCUUUAUGUUAGUUGCAACAAAAGUAAUAAUCCAUUUGACGGGACUAAAUAAAUAUGCUUUUAGCUCAGGAGAAUGUCCAGCUGCACCUGCAUUUCA